CCUGCUGUGCUCCCCUCUCUUGUCACCCUCACCCUGUGUCAGAAUUGUUUACAUUCUUGACAGCAUGGCCUGGGUUUCUUGUUCUCCGCUGUAUAUUUGUAGAGGAUGCAAAAUGGCCCUCUCAUGUGGGGAAGACAUAUUUUUGUUUUUUGAUUGAUUACUGGAUCUUGGGAAUUUGAUGAUUGUGUCCUCUGUUUUAGGGGCCUUUAAGAGGUGCAGAUUUCUUGGAGUUACAGUUGUUGCUAUGUUAGUCGAAGACUUAGCCAGCUAUCAACUCAUGAUCCACUGUGGAGAAGACAUUGCAAAAAAUACUGGCUGAUAACUGAGGAAGAGAAAGCCCGGAAGAAUCAGUGCUGGAAAUCUCUCUUCAUAGCUACUUACUCAGAUGUAGGAAGAUACAUCAACCAUUAUGCUGCUAUUAAAAAGGCCUGGGAUGACCUCAAGAAGUACUUGGAGCCUAGGUGUCCUCGGAUGGUUUUAUCUCUGAAAGAGGGUGCGCGUGAGGAAGACCUGGAUGCAGUAGAAGCUCAGAUCGGUUGCAAGCUCCCCGAUGACUAUCGCUGCUCAUACCGGAUCCACAAUGGGCAGAAGUUAGUGGUUCCAGGAUUGCUGGGAAGCAUGGCACUGUCAAAUCACUACCGCUCUGAAGAUUUAUUAGACGUUGACACUGCUGCCGGAGGAUUUCAGCAGAGACAGGGACUGAAAUACUGUCUCCCUUUAACCUUUUGCAUACAUACUGGCUUGAGUCAGUAC
rnacentral:lncRNA from 1 species